GGCUCAGGAUGAACGCUGGCGGCGUGCCUAAUACAUGCAAGUCGAGCGAACUGAUUAGAAGCUUGCUUCUAUGACGUUAGCGGCGGACGGGUGAGUAACACGUGGGCAACCUGCCUGUAAGACUGGGAUAACUUCGGGAAACCGAAGCUAAUACCGGAUAGGAUCUUCUCCUUCAUGGGAGAUGAUUGAAAGAUGGUUUCGGCUAUCACUUACAGAUGGGCCCGCGGUGCAUUAGCUAGUUGGUGAGGUAACGGCUCACCAAGGCAACGAUGCAUAGCCGACCUGAGAGGGUGAUCGGCCAC
rnacentral:rRNA from 1 species